CCUUUCUCUCCCAUACGUACACAAAUGCAAGGCAAUUGCAACAACAACAGCAGUAACCACAUAUAAUUGCUGUUCCAAUAACCUCUAACCCGAAGGCACAAAGCAGACAAACCACACACAACACACAAGAGAUAACAACGAGAAAUACAAAUUGUGACUCGUGCCACAACAAAACGCACACCGAACAAAUAACCAAAUAUAUUAAACUGUCAAACCAAAUAAUAACCCAAGCCGGUCACACCCACACACACACACAAUGGCAGGAAAAUGGACAUGGAGAGACAGAAAGAUGAGAGAAAGAGGCAGAUGUAAAUUUGCACAAGUGAGCGCAAGUGAGACACAGAUACCAGAAAAGGCAAAGGCACAGGAGGAAAACGCAAAUAUUUACAGUAAACAAAAUCAAAGAGAGUGGUACACCCAGAGAAUAAAAGAAACGGAGAGAGAGAGGAGAGGAUCAGCUGAAUAUGAUUGUUGUUGCUGCUCUACCUACGCGACCCGAAAAUUGUUGCUGCUGCCACACAAAUAACCUCAAAUCGUUGCUGUUUUGGUAAUAAACGAAGCGUUAAACAAAUUGCAUUACAACAACUACCACAACAUAGAAAUACUCAUUUUUGGUUUCUUACCGAUUUGUUGUCUACCAUAUGCAAAGCGUCAUAAAUGAGGCUGCAAUAGUAUUGUUGCUGUCGUUGCCUUGGGCGUAAUUACAUCCACAGCCAAAAAUGGUCAAACGAGCGAGAAAAUUAUCACAUUGCAGCCCACUGUGUGUUGUUGUAAUGGAAGCCCCACUAAAAGACUGAAAUUAAAUGCAAAUUUUUGGCCAAUACAAAACAAAAUGUAUACACACACACACGGGCAUACAAAAGGUUUCAUAAUCAGGAAAUUUACAAUUUUUCGGUGUCUUGAGGCGGAGGAAAUUAAAAUUGUUGCUGCCGAAGAUUUGACAUUUGAUAUGCAAUUUGAAUAAUUUUGCCGCACCUGCCUAUCCAGUCGACUCCUCGAAAUUGGCGCACACAUAUGGCAAAACUAGUUCCAACAUCAGAAACUACAGAAAUGCCACGGACAGCGGAGCUUAAUUCAAACACAGACAUAAAUCAAUGAACGCCAAAGUCGAAGGCAGCCCAGAAAAUGGAAAUCAAGGAAGGUGGUAGAAGCACAGAAAUAAUGGAAAAUAAUAAUAGAUAGCUGGGCUGCGAGUGCCAGCACGCCUUGGACG